GAUUCUGGCUCAGGAUGAACGCUAGCUACAGGCUUAACACAUGCAAGUCGAGGGGCAGCAUGGGAGUGCUGCAACUCCGAUGGCGACCGGCGCACGGGUGAGUAACGCGUAUCCAACCUGGCCCUUAGUAGGGAACAGCCCGGCGAAAGUCGGAUUAAUGCCCUAUGUUUUCCAAUGAUGGCAUCUGACUUGGAACAAAGAUUCAUCGCUAAGGGAUGGGGAUGCGUCUGAUUAGCUUGUCGGCGGGUAACGGCCCACCGAGGCGACGAUCAGUAGGGUUCUGAGAGGAAGGUCCCCCACAUUGGUACUGAGACACGGACCAAACUCCUACGGGAGGCAGCAGUGAGGAAUAUUGGUCAAUGGGCGCGAGCCUGAACCAGCCAAGUAGCGUGCCAGGAAGACUGCCCUAUGGGUUGUAAACUGCUUUUAUGCGGGAAUAAAGUCAGGUACGCGUACCUGUUUGUAUGUACCGCAUGAAUAAGGACCGGCUAAUUCCGUGCCAGCAGCCGC
rnacentral:rRNA from 1 species